rnacentral:rRNA from 1 species
AGAGUUUGAUCCUGGCUCAGGACGAACGCUGGCGGCACGCUUAACACAUGCAAGUCGAACGAGAGAAGAGGAGCUUGCUUUUCUGAUCUAGUGGCGGACGGGUGAGUAACACGUGAGCAAUCUGCCUUUCAGAGGGGGAUACCGAUUGGAAACGAUCGUUAAUACCGCAUAACAUAAUUGAACCGCAUGAUUUGAUUAUCAAAGAUUUAUCGCUGAAAGAUGAGCUCGCGUCUGAUUAGCUAGUUGGUAAGGUAACGGCUUACCAAGGCGACGAUCAGUAGCCGGACUGAGAGGUUGAUCGGCCACAUUGGGACUGAGACACGGCCCAGACUCCUACGGGAGGCAGCAGUGGGGAAUAUUGCACAAUGGAGGAAACUCUGAUGCAGCGAUGCCGCGUGAGGGAAGAAGGUUUUAGGAUUGUAAACCUCUGUCUUCAGGGACGAAAAAAGACGGUACCUGAGGAGGAAGCUCCGGCUAACUACGUGCCAGCAGCCGCGGUAAUACGUAGGGAGCGAGCGUUGUCCGGAAUUACUGGGUGUAAAGGGAGCGUAGGCGGGAUCGCAAGUCAGAUGUGAAAACUAUGGGCUUAACCCAUAAACUGCAUUUGAAACUGUGGUUCUUGAGUGAAGUAGAGGUAAGCGGAAUUCCUAGUGUAGCGGUGAAAUGCGUAGAUAUUAGGAGGAACAUCAGUGGCGAAGGCGGCUUACUGGGCUUUAACUGACGCUGAGGCUCGAAAGCGUGGGGAGCAAACAGGAUUAGAUACCCUGGUAGUCCACGCCGUAAACGAUGAUUACUAGGUGUGGGGGGACUGACCCCUUCCGUGCCGCAGCAAACGCAAUAAGUAAUCCACCUGGGGAGUACGACCGCAAGGUUGAAACUCAAAGGAAUUGACGGGGGCCCGCACAAGCAGUGGAGUAUGUGGAUUAAUUCGAAGCAACGCGAAGAACCUUACCAGGUCUUGACAUCGUAUGCAUAGCUCAGAGAUGAGUGAAAUCUCUUCGGAGACAUAUAGACAGGUGGUGCAUGGUUGUCGUCAGCUCGUGUCGUGAGAUGUUGGGUUAAGUCCCGCAACGAGCGCAACCCUUACUGUUAGUUGCUACGCAAGAGCACUCUAGCAGGACUGCCGUUGACAAAACGGAGGAAGGUGGGGAUGACGUCAAAUCAUCAUGCCCCUUAUGACCUGGGCCUCACACGUACUACAAUGGCUGUCAACAGAGGGAAGCAAAGCCGCGAGGUGGAGCGAACCCCUAAAAGCAGUCUUAGUUCGGAUUGUAGGCUGCAACCCGCCUACAUGAAGUCGGAAUUGCUAGUAAUCGCAGAUCAGCAUGCAGCGGUGAAUACGUUCCCGGGCCUUGUACACACCGCCCGUCACGCCAUGGGAGUCGGUAACACCCGAAGCCUGUAGUCUAACCGCAAGGAGGACGCAGUCGAAGGUGGGAUUGAUGACUGGGGUGAAGUCGUAACAAGGUA